ACCCGCUGAACUUAAGCAUAUCACUAAGCGGAGGAAAAGAAACUAACUAGGAUGGCCUCAGUAACGGCGAGUGAAGCGGCCAGAGCCCAAGAUGGUAAUCUCCGUGCAGAGCACGGCGAAUUGUAAUCUAGAGAUGCUAUUCUCAAAGGGUGGUGGCGCAGAAGUGUCCUGGAACGGACCGCCAAAGAGGGUGACAGCCCCGUACGUGGUGCCGCCGCCCAACGAGAAGGUAUUCAAAGAGUCGGGUUGUUUUGUAUUGCAGCCCUAAGCGGGAGAUAAACUUCUUCUAAGGCUAAAUAUAUGUGGGAAACCGAUAGCGAACAAGUACUGUGAAGGAAAGAUGAAAAGCACUUUGGAAAGAGAGUCAAAAGACCUGAAACCGUUGAGGAGGAAGCGGUAGAGAUGAAUUCUACAGCGAUGUGCGGGGAAGGCGAUCUAAUCAUGGCGGGGGAGUCGUACUUCAUAGGCGGCCCUCUGUCCAAGAGGAAAUCGGUGACUUGCGCGGCGUUGUGAGGCCGGAUGAAGUGGCGUGAUCACAAAGGCCUAGCAGGAGUGGCGAGAUUCGUUUUGCAGCCUGUUGGUGCCGGUGGAUGCGUGGCUUGAGGUUGCCUUGUGCGAUCCGGUCAAAAUGGUCUUUACCGACUCGUCUUGAAACACGAACCAAGGAGUCUAACGUACACGCGAGUAUGCUAGUGGAAAAACUAACAUGCGAAAUGAAGGUGAGAGAUGCCAAGCGCAAGCAGCAGCAUCAACCGACCAUGAUCCUCUGGUGAAAGGUUUGAGUAUGAGCGUGUCCGCUAGGACCCGAAAGAUGGUGAACUAUGCCUGCGUAGGGUGAAGCCAGGGGAAACUCUGGUGGAAGCUCGUAGCGAUACUGACGUGCAAAUCGUUCGUCGAACGUGGGUAUAGGGGCGAAAGACUAAUCGAACCAUCUAGUAGCUGGUUCCCUCCGAAGUUUCCCUCAGGAAAGG
rnacentral:rRNA from 1 species